ACAGGCAAGUUUACUUUCUAGCCUCUUCAGUGGGGACAUGGCAUUGCAGAAAUUCCUGGUUUCAACUGCCACUCAGGAGAUAUCCUUUGAGAUCAAGUCGCUGACCUAGGCUUGGCAGCAUACCGUGUCUUUCCAAACUUUGCCCCUGAGGCUGGCAGUGGAAUUUCUCCUCGGAGUCUCCAUGGGAAGGAGCCAGAGAAAGUUUGAGAAGGUUUAAACGAGAGCAAUGGAUGAACAGAAUACUCUAAACGUGUUGCCAGAAGCUCCUCAGAACACCAUGUGAGAACUGCUGAGUGGUUUAAGAUCCAUUCUUAGACACUGACCUGGAGCCACCUGAAGAAAUUUCCUUCUGACAGAACAUCAAUGGAUCAAGUCUUCAUGAUCAUUAGAAUAAAAUUAGACCUUUGUCUUACAAAUGGAGUAAGAAAAACUUAAACAUAAGGCCUGAAACUAUAAAACUACUAGAAGAAAAAACACAGUAGAACUUCUUGGCAAUGAUUUCAUGGGUCUGAUGCCAAAAGCACAGACAACAGAAGCAGAAAGACACGAGUGGGAUGACAUCAAACUGACAGGCUUGUGCACAGCAAAGGAAACAAGCAAUGGAGAGAAAAGACAACCAGUGGAAUGGAAAAUAAAUAUUUGCAAACCA